UGGGGAAUUUUGGACAAUGGGCGAAAGCCUGAUCCAGCCAUGCCGCGUGAGUGAAGAAGGCCUUCGGGUUGUAAAGCUCUUUCGGCUGGGACGAAAAGGUUCGUGCUAACACCACGGAUCCAUGACGGUACCAGCAGAAGAAGCACCGGCUAACUACGUGCCAGCAGCCGCGGUAAUACGUAGGGUGCAGGCGUUAAUCGGAAUUACUGGGCGUAAAGCGUGCGCAGGCGGUUUGCUAAGACAGGUGUGAAAUCCCCGGGCUUAACCUGGGAACUGCGCUUGUAACUGGCAAGCUAGAGUGUGGCAGAGGGGGGUGGAAUUCCACGUGUAGCAGUGAAAUGCGUAGAGAUGUGGAGGAACACCGAUGGCGAAGGCAGCCCCCUGGGCUAACACUGACGCUCAUGCACGAAAGCGUGGGGAGCAAACAGGAUUAGAUACCCUGGUAGUCCACGCCCUAAACUAUGUCAACUGGUUGUCGGGGAAGCAAUUCCUUGGUAACGAAGCUAACGCGUGAAGUUGACCGCCUGGGGAGUACGGCCGCAAGGUUAA
rnacentral:rRNA from 1 species